AUUGAACGCUGGCGGCAGGCCUAACACAUGCAAGUCGAGCGGAGCGGCGGACGGGUGAGUAAUGCCUAGGAAUCUGCCUGGUAGUGGGGGAUAACGUCCGGAAACGGGCGCUAAUACCGCAUACUACCAGAUGAGCCUAGGUCGGAUUAGCUAGUGGGUGGGGUAAAGGCCUACCAAGGCGACGAUCCGUAACUGGUCUGAGAGGAUGAUCAGUCACACUGGAACUGAGACACGGUCCAGACUCCUACGGGAGGCAGCAGUGGGGAAUAUUGGACAAUGGGCGAAAGCCUGAUCCAGCCAUGCCGCGUGUGUGAAGAAGGUCUUCGGAUUGUAAAGCACUUUCAGUCGGGAGGCGUUACCGACAGAAGAAGCACCGGCUAACUCCGUGCCAGCAGCCGCGGUAAUAC
rnacentral:rRNA from 1 species